GGCAGGUAGCCUAGUGGUUAGAGUGUAGAGGAGGCAGGUAGCCUAGUGGUUAGAGUGUAGAGGAGGCAGGUAGCCUAGUGGUUAGAGUGUAGAGGAGGCAGGUAGCCUAGUGGUUAGAGUGUAGAGGCGGCAGGGCAGCCUAGUGGUUAGAGUGUAGAGGCAGGUAGCCUAGUGGUUAGAGUGUAGAGGCAGGUAGCCUAGUGGUUAGAGUGUAGAGGAUGCAGGUAGCCUAGUGGUUAGAGUGUAGAGGAGGCAGGUAGCCUAGUGGUUAGAGUGUAGAGGAGGCAGGUAGCCUAGUGGUUAGAGUGUAGAGGAGGCAGGUAGCCUAGUGGUUAGAGUGUAGAGGAGGCAGGUAGCCUAGUGGUUAGAGUGUAGAGGAGGCAGGUAGCCUAGUGGUUAGAGUGUAGAGGAGGCAGGUAGCCUAGUGGUUAGAGUGUAGAGGAGGCAGGUAGCCUAUUCAAAUCCCCGAGCUGACAAGGUACAAAUCUUGUCAGACAAAUCUGUCGUUCUGCCCCUGAACAGGCAGUUAACCCACUGUUCCUAGGCCGUCAUUGAAAAUAAGAAUUUGUUCUUAACUGACUUGCCAAGUUAAAUAAAGGUAAAAAAAAAUAAAACAAUUUAGAUUAGUUUCUGUCUGAUUGUAAGACGACUGAGUACUCCACAAUUUCAUACUCUUUUUUUUUUCCAACAG
ensembl:lncRNA